GACAGAGGGGGCAAGCGUUGCUCGGAAUUACUGGGCGUAAAGGGCGCGUAGGCGGGAUGGCAAGUCGGUCGUGAAAUCCCUCGGCUCAACCGAGGAACGUCGAUCGAUACUGCUGUUCUUGAGGAUUGCAGAGGAGACUGGAAUUCCCGGUGUAGCGGUGAAAUGUGUAGAGAUCGGGAGGAACACCGGUGGCGAAGGCGGGUCUCUGGGCAAUUCCUGACGUUGAGGCGCGAAAGCGUGGGGAGCAAACAGG
rnacentral:rRNA from 1 species